UACUCACUUGAGAGCUGGCCAUG
rnacentral:piRNA from 1 species